rnacentral:rRNA from 1 species
GACGAACGCUGGCGGCGUGCUUAACACAUGCAAGUCGAACGGAAAGGCCCUGCUUUUGUGGGGUGCUCGAGUGGCGAGCGGGUGAGUAACACGUGAGUAACCUGCCCUUGACUUCGGGAUAACUUCAGGAAACUGGGGCUAAUACCGGAUAGGAGCUCCUGCUGCAUGGUGGGGGUUGGAAAGUUUCGGCGGUUGGGGAUGGACUCGCGGCUUAUCAGCUUGUUGGUGGGGUAGUGGCUUACCAAGGCUUUGACGGGUAGCCGGCCUGAGAGGGUGACCGGCCACAUUGGGACUGAGAUACGGCCCAGACUCCUACGGGAGGCAGCAGUGGGGAAUAUUGCACAAUGGGCGGAAGCCUGAUGCAGCAACGCCGCGUGCGGGAUGACGGCCUUCGGGUUGUAACCCGCUUUCGCCUGUGACGAAGCGUGAGUGACGGUAAUGGGUAAAGAAGCACCGGCUAACUACGUG